AGAUGAACCUGUUGGUGAAGGUGAUCUGGCUUCCCAACCCACAUCCAGGACUGAGAUUCAGGCAGCUGGUGAGGGUGUGUCUGCAGGGAGGAUUUCUCUGGCUUCCUGGCUGGUUACUGCACACAAGCCCAGCUCCCAUCGCAGGGGGCCUCCAACGGGAAAGUACAGAGCUACAGGACACAAGAAACCCCAUGAGCAAUCUGAACGUACGAUGCAAAUGCUGAAGGAAAUGCAGCAGGGAGGACAAGGUGGGUGCAUUUCCCUCAGCCUUCUCCUG